ensembl:lncRNA
UAUAUAUAUAUGUAUGUAUAAAUUGCACAUGCUCAAUAUAUUUUGUGUUACUUGCUUUCUAAAGGAGUGAGUGAGGGGAAGGAAGGGAAAAAAUGGAAUAAAAGGAUUUGAAAGGGUGAAUGUUGAAAAUUAUGUUUGCAUAUGUUUUAAAAGUAACAAUAUUUAACAAAGAGUUGAGGGGGUUAUGUUUAGCACUUUUGAAGACAUGCAAUGGGUUGGUGCCUCAUUGGCAAGGUCAGGGAAAUUGAAUUUACUUUAUCCCUAGGAGACACAGGUUAAAAGCAAUGGUAGAGCCAGGUGGAAUCUGUUACAUAUUUGGGAACCCAAUUGACAGUCAGCCUCCACUUGACCCAUUUCUAGGGGAAAUAAUUGAGUAGUGCUGAAGUAGCAAGAAAAAGUAGCUGAGGCUAAUUGAAUGACUGGUGCUAUCAAGUUGGGAAUUGCAUGGAUUUGGCAGGACUCUUCUCCAGAGUUUGAGACCUUUAGGUAGAAAGUGAAGUAGAUGAAAAGGAAAAAUAACAAAGCCUAUACUAUUAGGUGUCUGAGAAAAACUAGAUCAAGACCUUGAUCAGGGCUCAUGGAAGAGGCUUUCAGGUAGCCUGAAAUCUAAUCUUUAGUGUUUAGAUUGAUGGAAGAGGACACAGAUUGGAUUUUCAGAGUGAGGUUCUAAUAUUGGCCAAAGGAAUUGACAAAAAGUCAGAUGCAGCACCAAAUGAGAAAGAACAGCUAUGAUCGAUAGACACAAAAGACUGGGCGCUACAAGGAAAAUGAGAAAAAUAACCUAGAGUGUGAAGAGAACAGGGUUUGGGAACAGAGGAAAUGAAAAUGAAGAUGUGAGAAUGACCUUUGCCCAAUUUGGGCAAUGGGUGCAUGCAGGGAAUAAAGUGAAGACUUGUCCAAAGCACCCUUUUCAAAUUGUUUGGCAAUGGAUGAGAGAGAAAAGGAAAGAUUCAAAUCGGAGGCAGUUCAUCUACAGAAAUGGAUUGGUUAGGACAAUGAAAAGUGAAUGAAUGAAAGGUCUUUAUAGCAAAAGAAAGAAGGUUGAAAUUCCUCCUGGUACUAAACAGAAUUUUGACCAAUUUGACUUGGAAUGGAGAUAGAUGGGGGGAAAACAGUGUCAAGGAAGUAGAGCAAAAUGUGGGAGGAAAGGAGGGAUGGCGGAAGGUGUCCGUUUCUGUCUCAAAGUUGUGUAUGUUCUGCACAAUGAUACAAAGGAGAGUAGAAUAAGGACUUAGGCUUGAGAUCAGUACUGUGUGUAAAACCAGGCGAGAGGUGUUGUUUUGGAUAAGUACACUGUCCAGAGAUCCCCAUGAAGUAUUUGGCAGGUGCAGAAAGGAAAAUGUCAUCCAGCUGAAUGAAGGAAAUUGAAGCCUGGCUGAGCAAAGCUUCCCUUAGGCUACAUUGCCAAUGUGUGUAACACAAGAGUACCUGUAUGGGUGACUGAGGAGGGAUGGAAAAUAGGCUCCAUCAGAGGGUCGGGAAAUGAAAGGAAGCUGGGCUGAGAGCAUCUAGACCUACCCACGAGGCUUGAGCCCUAGAGUCCAAAUGCAAUAGAAUUCUUUGCAAUGGCUGCUAUAGACACUCUUGAUGAGCUCAUCAGGCAUUGUUGUGUGUCUGCUUCAAAAUAAUGACAAGUUGCUGAGAAACAAAACGCAAAGGAGUAACUGGGCAUUUGCCUUCAGGCGUGGUGGUGAGUGGACUGGCAGUUAAGGGUGUUAUUUUCGUCAACUUAUUUUGGAUUUUUUAAUCUUCUGUGAACAUACUAUCAGUUUGUGGCCAAGUAGGAGAGAGGGUUGGCAGAGCCUGCCUCAUCCAGACCUGAUAUAGGAGAGUGCGUUGAUAUAAUCCGCCUCAUCCAGACCAGGAGUGUGCCAUGGCAGAGUCGACCUCAUCUAGAGUAGAGCUCAUGAAUAUGGGGGCAAUGGAGGAGGAGAGAAACAAAACAGAAAAUAAAGAUUCAAGGCCUGCCAGGCAAUUUAACUGUAACAAGUACUGGCAAGCCUUCCUGAAGAGGUUUCACCUGGAUCCUCACUACCCAAAGAGUAAGAAAGUUGGCAGAGAACAAGAGCAAAGAAAUUUCCAAGAGAAGAUCACACAUGUUAGAGUGGCAACAGCGCCAAAUUUCUUCAGUGCCAGGUGUCUUGUCCUGAGGAGAACACAGGAGAAGCUUUGGAAAUAAAAACUUCCACUAAGG